UGUGGUUAAAGAGGCUCUCAAAAUGCUGUCCAACAUGGUCAUCUUCGGUUUCCUGCUUUGCUGCCCAUUUUUCUUAAUGUUUAUCGAGCAUGGUCAAGCAGUAGUGGUCACGGACGCAGAUCCGUCCGAGUACCCAUACGUGGUCAGGAUUUUUCUUUUUGCCAACGGCGUCUCUAAAUUUAUCACCACUCCAGCAGUGGCGGUCAGUGGUAAAUACGUGCUAAUCUUUUUAACGCCAUUCGCCUUUAAGUAAGAGUUCCUUAAAUUCAACAAAUUCUGCGUUGGAAAUUAAUGAUCACGUUUUAACUUCACAUAAUUUUUAAUUUCAAAAUGGAUGACCAGUUUGGCGUGGUUCGAACCCCUGUCAAAAACGGAACAGUCCUCGGUAGCCAGUUUACAUAUUUCAAAGUAUGUAACAAAUUUCGUGGAGCAAAGUAUCCGCUCCGCGAAAGUGACUUCAACAACCUGACGACCGCCGUCCCUGACGCUCAGCUAAUUUUUUUCGAUAAAACAUCGUCGGUCUUAAAGAAGGUGACUGCCCCUGUGAUGAACAAAACCGCCUGCGCUGCCGCUACAAACCCGGACGCCGCGAAAAUUGCAGGACUUUGCGUGGAUAGCAGUGGCCUUACUGACUUGUGCCCGGUCCUCUUUUAUGAUACUGAGGAAUUGGCAUUUACUUGGAUUCCAAUGGUAGCGAUUGGUAGCCAGUUACAAGGGAUUUAUUUAAGUGAUUCCGGCUGUAAAACAGCUCUUUGGGAAUUUUUUGACAUCGCUCCUUUCCGCCAGAAUUUGACUAGUGAAAUUCCUGAAGUGGAAAUCUUCUAGUACAAGAUUUUCCGAUCAGAAAAUAUUAUUUGUCAACACAAUAAAUUUUCUUCGCCUGGAAA